rnacentral:rRNA from 1 species
AUGAAAAUUUUCAGCCAGUCGGCCUUCUACAAAGACAUGCGGGCGGCGUGGAAUUGCUCCCAGGUGGUUCGAUUCCGGCCGAUUGGCCCUAAUCUGUUUAUGGUUCAAGUUUACUGUCUUGGUGAUUGGGAUCGCAUCACGGGACAAGGACCUUGGAUGUUCCGCAACAUGGCGGUCCUGUUAGUGCCAUAUGAUGGGUUCACGAACGCUGAAGAGGUGCCAAUAGAGUACAUGCCUAUCUGGCUCCAGAUCCAUAAGCUACCGGACGGGUAUUGCAGACAUGAUCUGAUCGUCAAGUUGCUCCGUUCUGCGGGAGAGGUCCUAGAAACCAGGCUUAAUGGUAACUCCAGAGGAGAUUACGUUCGUGUCAGAGUGAAACAUGACAUCAGGAAGCCUCUCACCAAGUUUGUGAGCAUUGUCAAGGGUGAAACACGUAAGGUUUAUGCAGUGAGAUAUGAGAAGCUGGCAAGGUUCUGUAGUGCAUGUGGUAUCAUUGGCCAUGGGCACAAGGAG